CCUGUCAGGCCCAGUCCCCAAACAUUAUCUGGCAUCAGAGGCCCUCAACAAAUGUCCCCCAUCCAAGUCCCAACUGCUUCCCAGAAUGCCCCAAACUCAAACACACACAGAGGGUUUACUCUGUGCUAAACACUUUAAGUAUUUGAUGUUAUGUCAUUGAGUAUUCACAACAAUUUCAUUGAAGAGAUACUAUCAUGAUCUCCAUUUUACAAAUGAGCAAAUACAGGCUGUAUGAGGCAAAGUGACUUACCCAAGGUCACACAGCUGCCAACUGCUUGUUGGCCAGGACUCAAGCUCACACCUGGGGGUUACCCGCCUGCCUAUGCUUACAGGAUGCUCCCAACUAAGGCAGAACUGUGGUGGGGAUGGCAGACCCUUGAGGAAUCGUGUUGAAUGUUUCACCUGCUUCCAAUCCUGUGUGCAGCUUUCUGAAGCGAGAGCCCUUAUUAUCCCAGUUUCACUAAGAAACCAGGACUUCGAGAGCUGACGUCACUCAGCCAGGUCACCCAGAGGGUCUAACAGUAUAACCCAGGACUGAAGUUCAGAUGCUUCAGGAGACUUUCACUUCUUGCAGCCUUGGUUUCCCCAUCUGCAAAGUAGGGCAACUCAUACCCACCACCCUGUUUGUGUGUGUUGGGAAGAACUCAGCAGGAAGGAUGAGGGUCUUGGGGGAGGGGGCACAACUCAGAGUUCCCAUCAGAGUUGCCUCGGCCCUCAGGUCCUUCUGCUGUUGG